rnacentral:rRNA from 1 species
GACGAACGCUGGCGGCGUGCCUAAUACAUGCAAGUAGAACGCUGAAGGAGGAGCUUGCUUCUCUGGAUGAGUUGCGAACGGGUGAGUAACGCGUAGGUAACCUGCCUGUUAGCGGGGGAUAACUAUUGGAAACGAUAGCUAAUACCGCAUAAUAGUAGAUGUUGCAUGACAUUUGCUUAAAAGGUGCAAUUGCAUCACUACCAGUUGGUCCUGCGUCGUAUUAGGUAGUUGGUGGGGUAACGGCUCACCAAGGCGACGAUACAUAGCCGGCCCGAGAGGGGGAACGGCCAAACUGGGAACGGGACAAGGCCCAGACCCCCACGGGGGGCAGCAGUAGGGGAACUUCGGCAAAGGACGGAAGUCUGAACGAGCAAAGCCGGGGGAGGGAAGAAGGGUCUCGGAUCGGAAAGAUCUGGUGUAAGAGAAGAAAGAGUGUGGGAGUGGAAAGUUCACACUGUGACGGUAUCUUACCAGAAAGGGACGGCUAACUACGUG